CCUACGGGGGGCUGCAGUGGGGAAUAUUGGACAAUGGGGGGAACCCUGAUCCAGCCAUGCCGCGUGUGUGAAGAAGGCCCUCGGGUUGUAUAGCACUUUCAGUGAGGAAGAACGCCUGGUGGUUAAUACCCAUCAGGAAAGACAUCACUCACAGAAGAAGCACCGGCUAACUCCGUGCCAGCAGCCGCGGUAAUACGGAGGGUGCGAGCGUUAAUCGGAAUUACUGGGCGUAAAGCGCGCGUAGGUGGCUUGAUAAGCCGGUUGUGAAAGCCCCGGGCUCAACCUGGGAACGGCAUCCGGAACUGUCCAGCUAGAGUGCAGGAGAGGAAGGUAGAAUUCCCGGUGUAGCGGUGAAAUGCGUAGAGAUCGGGAGGAAUACCAGUGGCGAAGGCGGCCUUCUGGACUGACACUGACACUGAGGUGCGAAAGCGUGGGUAGCAAACAGGAUUAGAUACCCGAGUAGUC
rnacentral:rRNA from 1 species